GAUUAAGUUAUUAAGGGCGCACGGUGGAUGCCUUGGCACUAGAAGCCGAUGAAGGACGUUACUAACGACGAUAUGCUUUGGGGAGCUGUAAGUAAGCUUUGAUCCAGAGAUUUCCGAAUGGGGAAACCCAGCAUGAGUUAUGUCAUGUUAUCGACAUGUGAAUACAUAGCAUGUCAGAAGGCAGACCCGGAGAACUGAAACAUCUUAGUACCCGGAGGAAGAGAAAGAAAAAUCGAUUCCCUGAGUAGCGGCGAGCGAAACGGGAAGAGCCCAAACCAACAAGCUUGCUUGUUGGGGUUGUAGGACACUCUAUACGGAGUUACAAAGGACGACAUUAGACGAAUCAUCUGGAAAGAUGAAUCAAAGAAGGUAAUAAUCCUGUAGUCGAAAACGUAUUCUCUCUUGAGUGGAUCCUGAGUACGACGGAGCACGUGAAAUUCCGUCGGAAUCUGGGAGGACCAUCUCCUAAGGCUAAAUACUCUCUAGUGACCGAUAGUGAACCAGUACCGUGAGGGAAAGGUGAAAAGUACCCCGGAAGGGGAGUGAAAGAGAACUUGAAACCGUGUGCUUACAAGUAGUCAGAGCCCGUUAAGGGGUGAUGGCGUGCCUUUUGUAGAAUGAACCGGCGAGUUACGAUCUGAUGCAAGGUUAAGCAGGAAAUGUGGAGCCGUAGCGAAAGCGAGUCUGAAUAGGGCGAAUGAGUAUUUGGUCGUAGACCCGAAACCAGGUGAUCUACCCUUGGUCAGGUUGAAGUUCAGGUAACACUGAAUGGAGGACCGAACCGACUUACGUUGAAAAGUGAGCGGAUGAACUGAGGGUAGCGGAGAAAUUCCAAUCGAACCUGGAGAUAGCUGGUUCUCUCCGAAAUAGCUUUAGGGCUAGCCUCAAGUGAUGAUUAUUGGAGGUAGAGCACUGUUUGGACGAGGGGCCCCUCUCGGGUUACCGAAUUCAGACAAACUCCGAAUGCCAAUUAAUUUAACUUGGGAGUCAGAACAUGGGUGAUAAGGUCCGUGUUCGAAAGGGAAACAGCCCAGACCACCAGCUAAGGUCCCAAAAUAUAUGUUAAGUGGAAAAGGAUGUGGCGUUGCCCAGACAACUAGGAUGUUGGCUUAGAAGCAGCCAUCAUUUAAAGAGUGCGUAAUAGCUCACUAGUCGAGUGACACUGCGCCGAAAAUGUACCGGGGCUAAACAUAUUACCGAAGCUGUGGAUUGUCCUUUGGACAAUGGUAGGAGAGCGUUCUAAGGGCGUUGAAGCAUGAUCGUAAGGACAUGUGGAGCGCUUAGAAGUGAGAAUGCCGGUGUGAGUAGCGAAAGACGGGUGAGAAUCCCGUCCACCGAUUGACUAAGGUUUCCAGAGGAAGGCUCGUCCGCUCUGGGUUAGUCGGGUCCUAAGCUGAGGCCGACAGGCGUAGGCGAUGGAUAACAGGUUGAUAUUCCUGUACCACCUAUAAUCGUUUUAAUCGAUGGGGGGACGCAGUAGGAUAGGCGAAGCGUGCGAUUGGAUUGCACGUCUAAGCAGUAAGGCUGAGUAUUAGGCAAAUCCGGUACUCAUUAAGGCUGAGCUGUGAUGGGGAGAAGACAUUGUGUCUUCGAGUCGUUGAUUUCACACUGCCGAGAAAAGCCUCUAGAUAGAAAAUAGGUGCCCGUACCGCAAACCGACACAGGUAGUCAAGAUGAGAAUUCUAAGGUGAGCGAGCGAACUCUCGUUAAGGAACUCGGCAAAAUGACCCCGUAACUUCGGGAGAAGGGGUGCUCUUUAGGGUUAACGCCCAGAAGAGCCGCAGUGAAUAGGCCCAAGCGACUGUUUAUCAAAAACACAGGUCUCUGCUAAACCGUAAGGUGAUGUAUAGGGGCUGACGCCUGCCCGGUGCUGGAAGGUUAAGAGGAGUGGUUAGCUUCUGCGAAGCUACGAAUCGAAGCCCCAGUAAACGGCGGCCGUAACUAUAACGGUCCUAAGGUAGCGAAAUUCCUUGUCGGGUAAGUUCCGACCCGCACGAAAGGCGUAACGAUUUGGGCACUGUCUCAACGAGAGACUCGGUGAAAUCAUAGUACC
rnacentral:rRNA from 1 species